rnacentral:rRNA from 1 species
GACGAACGCUGGCGGCGUGCUUAACACAUGCAAGUCUAACGGAAAGGCCCUGCUUUUGUGGGGUGCUCGAGUGGCGAACGGGUGAGUAACACGUGAGUAACCUGCCCUUGACUUUGGGAUAACUUCAGGAAACUGGGGCUAAUACCGGAUAGGAGCUCCUGCUGCAUGGUGGGGGUUGGAAAGUUUCGGCGGUUGGGGAUGGACUCGCGGCUUAUCAGCUUGUUGGUGGGGUAGUGGCUUACCAAGGCUUUGACGGGUAGCCGGCCUGAGAGGGUGACCGGCCACAUUGGGACUGAGAUACGGCCCAGACUCCUACGGGAGGCAGCAGUGGGGAAUAUUGCACAAUGGGCGGAAGCCUGAUGCAGCAACGCCGCGUGCGGGAUGACGGCCUUCGGGUUGUAAACCGCUUUCGCCUGUGACGAAGCGUGAGUGACGGUAAUGGGUAAAGAAGCACCGGCUAACUACGUGCCAGCAGCCGCGGUGGUACGUAGGGUGCGAGCGUUGUCCGGAUUUAUUGGGCGUAAAGGGCUCGUAGGUGGUUGAUCGCGUCGGAAGUGUAAUCUUGGGGCUUAACCCUGAGCGUGCUUUCGAUACGGGUUGACUUGAGGAAGGCAGGGGAGAAUGGAAUUCCUGGUGGAGCGGUGGAAUGCGCAGAUAUCAGGAGGAACACCAGUGGCGAAGGCGGUUCUCUGGGCCUUUCCUGACGCUGAGGAGCGAAAGCGUGGGGAGCGAACAGGCUUAGAUACCCUGGUAGUCCACGCUGUAAACGGUGGGUACUAGGUGUGGGGUCCAUUCCACGGGUUCCGUGCCGUAGCUAACGCUUUAAGUACCCCGCCUGGGGAGUACGGCCGCAAGGCUAAAACUCAAAGGAAUUGACGGGGCCCCGCACAAGCGGCGGAGCAUGCGGAUUAAUUCGAUGCAACGCGUAGAACCUUACCUGGGUUUGACAUGGAUCGGGAGUGCUCAGAGAUGGGUGUGCCUCUUUUGGGGUCGGUUCACAGGUGGUGCAUGGCUGUCGUCAGCUCGUGUCGUGAGAUGUUGGGUUAAGUCCCGCAACGAGCGCAACCCUUGUUCACUGUUGCCAGCACGUUAUGGUGGGGACUCAGUGGAGACCGCCGGGGUCAACUCGGAGGAAGGUGGGGAUGACGUCAAGUCAUCAUGCCCCUUAUGUCCAGGGCUUCACGCAUGCUACAAUGGCUGGUACAGAGAGUGGCGAGCCUGUGAGGGUGAGCGAAUCUCGGAAAGCCGGUCUCAGUUCGGAUUGGGGUCUGCGACUCGACCUCAUGAAGUCGGAGUCGCUAGUAAUCGCAGAUCAGCAACGCUGCGGUGAAUACGUUCCCGGGGCU